CACACUUGCUCUACAUAUUGUAAGUCCACUCCAAAUGAAAAAGUUCACAAAAAUUCUGCAGCUUCCUGUAGCUCUAGCACCACACUCUGAGAUAGCUAGCCUUUCUGCAGCGGCACUACCACCGACGCAGCACACAAGAAAAGAAAAAAAAUAGAAAAAACUAGUUGUUCCAUGAAGAGGCCAACAGUCUUGUCGCUUGCCUCGACCAACAGCACGGAGUAAAGGUUGGUGAUGACCAUUGUCAAUGACGAGCAGCUCUUACACCAGAACAGUAAUGCUAAAUCCAAAUUUCCUUGGCCACUUGUAAUACCAACACCAACCCACAACACAAAGCAAUGGGAAAACGUAGUAUCAUACCACCAAGCAAAGUAACGAUCAGCAAAUCGGAACCAAGGACUAACGUGAGCCAUUGACCAAUCAUCACGAUUCAGCUCACUUGCACAUCGCAAAAGUCCAACGUAAAAAAUGGAGAGAGUAGUAUUGUUUACACAAUGUCGACGAAAAAGGGUGCAGU
rnacentral:lncRNA from 1 species